rnacentral:snRNA from 1 species
GGAUGUGAGUGCAAUCUGGCUGUGACAUUUGUCACCCCAUUGAUCACCAGUGUUGAUUCGACUGAUCUGUCUAGGGGGGUGUCGGCUUCCUCCCUCACCACCCCAUGUGCAUCCCUCGUGAAGCUGCGUGCUCAGUUGAAGAGGAUGACCUUUCCCACUAGAGGAGGACUGGUCUUCAGUCAAGGGUAAACGAGUAGCUGCACUCCCCUGCUAGAACCUCCAAAUAAACUCUCAAUUAUAUUAAUUCUUCUAAUCUAUGAGCAAGGAAUAUCUUUCCCUUUUUUGGUGUACAAUUUUCAUGUAUAAGUUAAUAAUA